rnacentral:rRNA from 1 species
AUCUCUUGGUUCUGGCAUCGAUGAAGAACGCAGCGAAAUGCGAUAAGUAAUGUGAAUUGCAGAAUUCAGUGAAUCAUCGAAUCUUUGAACGCACAUUGCGCCCCUUGGUAUUCCGAGGGGCAUGCCUGUUCGAGCGUCAUU